UACGAAGGGUGCAAGCGUUACUCGGAAUUACUGGGCGUAAAGGGCGCGUAGGCGGACGGCUUAGUCAGAGGUGAAAGCCCAGGGCUCAACCUUGGAAUUGCCUUUGAUACUGGCCAUCUUGAGUACGGGAGAGGUGUGUGGAACUCCGAGUGUAGAGGUGAAAUUCGUAGAUAUUCGGAAGAACACCAGUGGCGAAGGCGACGAUCUGGGUCGAUACUGACGCUGAGGUGCGAAAGCGUGGGGAGCAAACAGG
rnacentral:rRNA from 1 species